CAAAGAUCUAAGUGCCCUGUGCCAGGUAUGGCUGGAGUCAAAGGAUCAUGUGAUUGUCAAGCAAGAGGGAGAGGAAACCGCAGAGCUCACUCCUCCAACACCCAGAGUGUGGACUGAGUAUGUGGUGAGGCCUAGUACAGGAGAGGAGAGGCAUGUUUUUCAAGAGCAGGAGCAGCAGCGUUAUGAUCAAUAUAAACACAAAACAGCGCGGAAGCCCCUCACGGAUGACUGCCGUGCACAAACAAAACACAAACUAAAACCCAG